rnacentral:rRNA from 1 species
CGUAGGCACAAGCGUUGUCCGGAUUUAUUGGCGUAAAGAGCUCGUAGGCGGUUCAGUAAGUCAGGUGUGAAAUCUUUGGGCUUAACCCAAAGCGUGCACUUGAUACUGCUGUGACUUGAGUUGGUAGGGGAGUGGGGAAUUCCUAGUGUAGCGGUGAAAUGCGCAGAUAAUCAGGAAGAACACCCGUGGCUAAGGCGGGUCUCUGGGCCGAUACUGACGCUGAGGAGCGAAGCGUGGGGAGCGAACAGGA